rnacentral:rRNA from 1 species
UACGAAGGGGGCUAGCGUUGCUCGGAAUCACUGGGCGUAAAGCGCACGUAGGCGGCUUUCUAAGUCAGGGGUGAAAUCCUGGAGCUCAACUCCAGAACUGCCUUUGAUACUGGAGAGCUUGAGUCCGGGAGAGGUGAGUGGAACUCCGAGUGUAGAGGUGAAAUUCGUAGAUAUUCGGAAGAACACCAGUGGCGAAGGCGGCUCACUGGCCCGGUACUGACGCUGAGGCGCGAAAGCGUGGGGAGCGAACAGG